UUCCCUUGACGAUAGUUUGUGUAUUUUAAAUAAAGAUUUCAUUCUGCCAACCCGCAGGAAGCUUUUAACAAGAUGCAGCUGAGCGUGUCGAUAUCUUAUAUCUUUUUACUGCUGCUCUGGCGUGUACAUCAACUCCAAACUCAUUUCUUUCCUUCUCCGCCUGAUACUGUAGCAUCUCAGAGACGGCGGCGGCGGCGGCAGCAGCACAGCAUUGCUCCCGGGGGGCACUUUUACUUUGCCCUCAAAGUAUCUGCCAGCAAUAAGAGACGUCUGAAUCCCCCACCCCCAUUUCGCUACAGCAAAAUGCUGGGGUGUUCGAUUGGGAUGUUUUGAAUCAAGGUGAUUCUUCCCGCGAUACGCGUUUCCUAACCCUUUGCUGCGCUGUUCCAGCUUGCUGGCCCACUGCUCCUCCGUCACCGCUGAGCCGUAACCUCCUUCCAUGCCAACGCCCAAGCACCAGCUUAAACCCAGAAAGGCAACGCACGGGCCUAAGGCUCUGCAAACGCUCAGCGCGGCCAAAGGCCCCUGCGGAUGCCAGGAGAAAUCUCCCUUCCCGCAGUGGGGUGCUCAGCGGAGCGCUCCGCCCGCCCGCGGCAGAACGCGCAGCCCGCGGAGCGCGAUGGACGACGCGGGGCGGCCGGCGGGCUCCGCAGCCCUGGCCGCAGCUGUCCCGGCUCGCCCCGCCGGCGCCGCACGGCUGCAGGUCAGGGGGAGUAUCCUGCCUCCGCCUCGAAAAGGGGCUACGCGGGAGGUGGCCCUAGUAAACGUGACAGCGUGGUCAGCUCGCACGUAGUUUCAGCUCCGGGGUUCACCCUACUAAUUAAAGUAUUACCCUUAAAUACAGGCGGUGGAAAGCUCCUGAUACACCCAGCAUUGCGAAUUGCUAGUUUGUCUUUAAGAUUCGGCACAGCUAAAUUUGGCCUGUUUUGAAGCAUAGAAAUUUAGUAUUCAGAAAAAAUAAAGUGAAUAUUAUAUUACAAAUAGAAAAUUUCCCUCCCCACCCCCAAGAAAAAAAAAA